AGAUUCAAGUUAGCUUUCGGAACUUGUGGGCUCAAGCUAUUGAGCAUAUGGGUAUGGUGUAGGUUAAGUGGGUGUUUAUGCAUUGGAAUUGAAUUGGGAUUACUUGGAGGUUUGUUGGUAAUCAAGGCUUGUUUUGGGGCUGUUUGGUUGAGCUUGGAGGGGUUGUAAUUUUGUGUUGUGAGGCUGCCUUGGGUGAGCUAAGUGAUCGGCCAAGAUGCAGGUCGAGAGGCUCCUCGCUAGACGUCUGGAUCCUGGGAAGCGAAGUAGUCCUUGGGUGUAUUUUGGUUUCUGUUUGUAUAUAUGUAUAUAUAUGUUUAGCUUACUCUCCAAGUAACUUAUGUACGCUGCUCCUCUUAGAGGUUGAGGGAGAGAUAUGAGUUUACUU